rnacentral:rRNA from 1 species
UACGUAGGGUGCGAGCGUUGUCCGGAAUUAUUGGGCGUAAAGGGCUCGUAGGCGGUUUGUCACGUCGGGAGUGAAAACUCGGGGCUUAACCCCGAGCCUGCUUCCGAUACGGGCUGACUAGAGGUAUGCAGGGGAGAACGGAAUUCCUGGUGUAGAGGUGAAAUUCGUAGAUAUUAGGAGGAAUACCGGUGGCGAAGGCGGCCUUCUGGACCAUUCCUGACACUGAGACGCGAAAGCGUGGGUAGCAAACAGG